ACAACCACACUGAGGACGAUCUAGUCACAGCCGCAUGUUUAGCAAGACCAUCUGCUAUUGUACUAACUUCACGAAAGCAAUGACAGAUGCUCCAUGUAAUAUUGUAAUAUCAUGUAAAACAUAGUAAUAAUUAAUGAGAAGAAGAGGCAAAGAGACUGGUAGGUUAGACUAUCAAGUGAAGACUAGUGGUAGCUAGGUUUGACGCAUUUUGCAGGGUUGUAUAUUGCUUCUAUCACUUGCUUUAGAUAGGAGAAAGUUUUCCUUCAAAUAUUGCAUUUGCUUCUUUUAGGAACAAUAUUCCUUUUUUUUUUUUUUUUCCGCGUACAUUGGAAGCUUCAAUUCCCUUAUCAGCUAUCACCACAAAUUAAGUGAACCGGUUUGAGGCUUUCUUUGUCCGCAAGACUUUGUUGAAGCAAUUCUGAGCUUGCUGAACUCAAUGACCAAUGCUAUAAAGAAAAAAGUAUAUGAUGAUUGCCAACUGAACAGAGAUGAAAUCAAGUUACUGAUCUUGCCCAUGGAGGAAAAAGUACUAGAAGAGAACUGCGAUGAAAUGAAGAUAUUGGUGGAGUUCAUGGUGGAAAAACUAGAAGAGGUCAGUUCCUUGCAAUCCAAUUAUGAUAUAUACCGAGUUCCCAUGCAGCUUCAAAGGGUAAGCCUAGAUACCUACACACCUCUGUCAGUCUCAAUUGGCCCUUUGCACUAUAACAAGGAACACCUAAGGACCAUGGAGACACAUAAGUUGCGCUAUUUAAAGCGCUUUC